GCACCCGUAGCUCAGCUGGAUAGAGCGUUGCCCUCCGAAGGCAAAGGUCGUGCGUUCGAAUCGCGCCGGGUGCG
rnacentral:tRNA from 1 species